rnacentral:rRNA from 1 species
GAUGAACGCUGGCGGCGUGCUUAACACAUGCAAGUCGAACGGAAAGGCUCCUGCUUGCCGGGAUACUCGAGUGGCGAACGGGUGAGUAACACGUGGGUGAUCUGCCCUGCACUUCGGGAUAAGCCGGGGAAACUGGGUCUAAUACCGGAUAGGACGAUGGUUUGGAUGCCAUUGUGGAAAGUUUUUCGGGGAGGGAUGAGCUCGCGGCCUAUCAGUUGGUUGGUGGGGUAAUGGCCUACCAAGGCGUGGACGGGUAGCCGGCCGGGGAGGUUGUAGGGCCACAUUGGGACUAGGAUACGGCCCAGACUCCUACGGGAGGCAGCAGUGGGGAUUAUUGCACAAUGGGCGAAAGCUUGAUGCAGCGCCGCCGCGUGGGGGUUGACGGCCUUCGGGUUGUAACCUCCUUUCGCUAGGGACGAAGCGCAAGUGACGGUACCUGGAGAAGAAGCACCGGCUAACUACGUG